AAUCAACUUCUGGCAGAAUGCCAAAGACCUCAUUAAUUUACAAGACAGAAUGCAAACAUUAUGACAUGGGUAUUGUGGUAAGAACAGUGGGGUGGAGAGUAGUCAGGCAAGGUGAGAGAGGACAGUGUGUGAAGGGAUAACAAGAUCCUCUCACCACAUGGUCUGUUAAGGGAGAAAGAAAUAACAAAGCUUUUAUUUCCUUUAUGGAAAGCAAAGAAGCAGAAAAACUAUGUUUACAGAAGACAGAUCUUGGGGAGAUGUGGAGAGAAGAGGUCCUAAUUGGAUUAUUCACCAUGGAAGCCGUGAGAAGAUGCUGAAACAGAGAAGAUGGUUCACCAUCUGCUUAAUUUUUCCCAUGAAAGAGCCGAGCUUUCCAGAAGGAUUUCAGAAAGUGCACCACUAUGCCCACUGCUGAUGGUGACACGGAGUAACAGAUGGCACUGCCAGGGCUACAGGUGCCUCGGAAUGGAGCCUUUUGAAGACUAAGCCAAGGCAGUGGCCUGAAAACUACUCAGUGAUACAGAAACCGAAGUUAUUGGAAAUUGGGGGGAGGGAAUUUAAAAAAACAGUGAUUAUCUUUUAAUAAAUGACUGUCUUCCAGAAGUAUUAAAGCUUUUGCUCACAGACGCAACCUGGCCUAUUUGUGGCUCAACACAAAAGCUCAGAGUUGGUGAGCCCCAAGAGGUCACCCCCCAGCGCAGCCCAGACCCAGAGAGACAACCCCAGCUCUAAAUGUUGA
rnacentral:lncRNA from 1 species